rnacentral:rRNA from 1 species
GAUUAACGCUGGCGGCGUGCAUAACACAUUCAAGUCGAACGGUGAAGGGACUUCGGUCCCGGAUCAGUGGCGGACGGGUGAGUAACGCGUGAGCAACCUGCCCUUGGGUGGGGGAUAACGUUUGGAAACGGACGCUAAUACCGCAUAAACCAAUAGUACGGACUCGUCCAGUUGGCAAAGAUUUAUUGCACAAGGAUGGGAUCGCGUCUGAUUAGGUAGUUGGUGGGGUAACGGCCUACCAAGCCGACGAUCAGUAGCCGGACUGAGAGGUUGAACGGACACAUUGGAACUGAGAUACAGUCCAGAAUCCUACGGGAGGCAGCAGUGGGGAAUAUUGGGCAAUGGGGGAAACCCUGAACCAGCGACGCCGAGUGAGGGAAGAAGGUCUUCGGAUUGUAAACCUUAAACAACAGGGACGGCGAAAGUGACGGUACCUGUUAGGAAGCCACGGCUAACUACGUGCCAGCAGCCGCAGUAAGAC